AUUGAACGCUGGCGGCAUGCCUUACACAUGCAAGUCGAACGGCAGCAUGGAAGAGCUUGCUCUUCUGAUGGCGUGUGGCGAACGGGUGAGUAAAGCAUCGGAACGUACCGUGUAGUGGGGGAUAACGUAGCGAAAGUUGCGCUAAUACCGCAUACGCACUGAGGUGGAAAGCAGGGGAUCGCAAGACCUUGCGCUAUACGAGCGGCCGAUGUCAGAUUAGCUAGUUGGUAGGGUAAAGGCCUACCAAGGCGACGAUCUGUAGCGGGUCUGAGAGGAUGAUCCGCCACACUGGGACUGAGACACGGCCCAGACUCCUACGGGAGGCAGCAGUGGGGAAUUUUGGACAAUGGGGGAAACCCUGAUCCAGCCAUGCCGCGUGAGUGAAGAAGGCCUUCGGGUUGUAAAGCUCUUUCGGCUGGGAAGAAAUCGCACAGGCUAAUACUCUGUGUGGAUGACGGUACCAGCACAAGAAACACCGGCUAACUACGUGCCAGCCGCCGCAGUAA
rnacentral:rRNA from 1 species